UUUCUUCAGGGGAAUUCAUUACUCAAUCAGACAAAAUCUUUGGAUUCAGAACAGUCGUCUAAUGAGGAUCUUACUGAUGAAGUUAUCUUCCAGAGUUUAAAAUCACCGUUCGGAUGGAGCAGCUCACAAUCUGGAGACGAGCCAUCUAACAAUGUGUCACUGAGUUUAUCCACAUUGGAAGACGACGUGCCUCAGUGGACAAAUGUUCUUCAGAUCGGGACUUUGUCGUCAGUUUUAUCUCAAGUA